GAGAGUUAAACAGUACGUGAAAUUGUUGAAAGGGAAACGAUUGAAGCCAGUCGUACCUUCGGGUAAUCAGCCUUUCGGGUGCGAUUAUGUGGAGUGUGAGGAGCUUAAACACCUUCAUGUUUUGCAUAUUCGUACUCUUGGGUGUACUUGCCCGUGUGGUUGGUUAACAUCAAUUUUGGUGGUCAUAAAAUGACUGGAGGAAUGUAGCUUCGAUCUCGUAUUGAAGUGUUAUAGCCUUCGGUAGAUGUGAUGAUCGAGAUUGAGGAUUGCAACGGAUACCCUUCGGGGCUACCUGUCUGAUCUCUGAUCGUUGCUCUGGUGCCGAAAGCUUGCUUACGGUUAUCAAAGUCGAUGGUCAAUAGGUUAGAACGGGUUAAAUUCGUUAAGGAUGUUGACGUAAUGGCUUUAAACGA
rnacentral:rRNA from 1 species